rnacentral:rRNA from 1 species
GGUUUGAUCCUUAGCUCAGAUUGAACGCUGGCGGGAUGCUUUACACAUGCAAGUCGAACGGCACCACCGGCCCAGUGGCGAGUGGCGAACGUGUGAGUAAUGUAUCGGAACGUGCCUAGUAGCGGGGGAUAACUACGAAAGGUAGCUAAUACUCGCUACUUGUCUUCGGGGAAGCGGGGACCUUCGGGCCCUCGCACUAUUAGAGCGGCCGAUAUCGGAUUAGCUAGUUGGUGGGGUAACGGCUCACCAAGGCGACGAUCCGUAGCUGGUUUGAGAGGACGACCAGCCACACUGGGACCGAGACACGGCCCAGACUCCUACGGAGUGCAGCAGUGGGGGAAUUUUUGGACAAUGGGGGGAAACUCUGAUCCAGCCAUCCCGCGUGUGCGAUGAAUAUGCCUUUCGGGUUGUAAAGCACUUUUGGCAGGAAAGAACGGCACGGGAUAAUACCCCGCAACUGACGGUACCCGCAGAAUGGGUUACCUGGUUAACCUACGUGCCAGCAGCCGCGUGGUCACGUAGGGUGCAAGCGUUAAUCGGAAAUCAUUGGGCGUAAAAGCGUGCGCAGGCGGUUCUGAAAGAAAGACGUGGAACUUUGAGCUUAACUUUGGAACUGCAUUUUUGAAUCACCGAGCUAGAUGUGUCAGGAGUGGAGGUGGAAUUCCGCGUGCAGGAAUGCGUAGAUAUGGCGGAGGAACACCGAUGGCGAAGGCAGCCUCCCGGGAGAACACUGAUGGCUCAUGCACGAAAGCGUGGGGAGCAAACAGGAUUAGAUACCCGGUAGUCCACGCCCCAACGAUGUCAACUAGCUGCUGGGCCUUCGGCCCAGUGGUAGCGCAGCUGCUAACGCGUGAAGUUGACCGCCUGUGAGGAGUACGGUCGCAAGAUUAAAACUCAAAGGAAUUGACGGGGACCCGCACAAGCGGUGGAUGAUGGGAUUAAUCUGAUGCAACGCGAAAAACUCCACUCUACCUUGACAUGUCUGGAAUCCCGAAGAGAUUUGGGAGUGCUCGCAAGAGCCGAACACAGGUGCUGCAUGGCUAUUGCCACGUCGAGAUGUUGGGCUAAGUCCCGCAACGAGCAACCCUUGUCAUUAGUUGCUGGCCAGGCGCACCCAUCGACUGCCGGUGACAAAACCGAGGAAGGUGGGGAUGACGUUAAGUCCCUAUGGCCCUGCGGGGUAGGGCUUCACACGUCAUACAAUGGUCGGGACGAGGCCGCAACCUGGCGAGGGGGAGCCAAUCCCAGAAACCUGAUCGUAGUCCGGAUCGCAGUCUGCAACUCGACUGCAUGAAGUCGGAAUCGCUAGUAAUCGCGGAUCAUGGUCGUCGCAGAAUACACCCGGGUCUUGUACACACCGUCCGUCACACCAUGGGAGUGGGUUUGCACCAGGCGUAGUUAGCCUAACCGUAAGGAGGGCGAUUACCACGGUAGGAUCUAUGACUGGGGUGAAGUCGUAACAAGG